GGAACAGCCCACUUCCUGAACACAUGAGCCUGAAAGCACAGCCUCUGCAGCUGAGAAUCAGAAGAGGGCGCCCUAACUGGGAUUCCUAAAUGUCACCUCCUAUGAAGAUAGCAGAAGCUGGCCGUUCCCAGACACUGGAACAGAUACGUGACCUGAGAGACCUGCGUGUGGAAGGGCCGUGAUGAGUGCGGGGUCAGCUGGCGGCCAUGGCGACAGAGGGGUCAGUCUGCGGCCUCGGUUCAUCUCUCGGUCAACAUCAGAUAACGAGUUGAUCCAGCAUUCUUUUGACCGAGGUGAUGCAGAGACAGAGCUCGGCUCGAUCAGGACGACGUCUCGGCCAAACCCCCGUCGUGCCUCCCCAGCCCGCCCACAGCCGAUCAAUAUGACUGGAGUUGGAGAUACAGAAGCCCGCUCCCCGCACCGGCUGCGAGUGAGAUAGCGUGCGCCCGAGAGCCCUGAUAAGACCGCAGCAGGACCUGCCGUUCAUGCCAGCUGAACCUGCCCGCGAGACCCGCCAGUGCCAGUGCCAGUGCCAGUGACACUUUUAAUGGGUUCUGUGGAGCACAGGCUGACAGAUGACUGACUGGACCUUUUCUUUCUCUCUUUCCAUAAAUUUGUCUUUUUCUCUUUUGGGCGCACGUUGUGAACGUUUCAUUUUUCCCAAUUUCUGUGAAAGCACAACCCUCUGCACCAGAUCCCAUAUUCCAUAUUAUGAAGAAUUUCUUGUGUUUUUCACACUUUCUGGCUAUAUUCAGAAUAGCAUACUACUGUUCUGCUCUUACUAUUUUUACAGUAUACAGUGUAUAUAUACUGUGGAUAGUUAGCAAAUUUUCUGUAUGCAUGGAAUGCCUGCUACAUCCUGCUAUAUGAAUGAAUUUUAUAUAUGAAUUCGGUUUCACAUAUUUAAGAAAUGGUUGGCAUAGCUGAGUACAUACUACUAUGGAAGCUUGUUUAGAGAGUUACCAUCACGCAAUUAUGAAUUAUAUAUGUAUAUAUAUAUAUAUGUAUUUUUUUAUUAUAAUAUUUUUAUUUUUUAUUUUUUUUAGAGUUGCAAGUUUGUAUCUGGCAAUUUCGAGUUUUGAGGGGGGGGGGGA
rnacentral:lncRNA from 1 species